GAAUGAAGCAGUAGUUGUUGACAUUGAUCGAGAUAACUGGCGUCCAAGAAUUGAGCUUCAAGGUACAUGAGAUACGUAUUCUGUCCAUUCCUCCUCAUCAGGGUUCUGAAAGUACUAAUGCUUUCACGAGGACAAGAUAACUACAUAUUCUUGCACUUUUGCAAUGUCCACUAUUUCAAGUAUGUGGUUUAUAUUCUUGUUGAUCAGACUCGGAGUGAAUGGCGUUAGCGGAGGAUUCCUAUGAGAUGAUUGGAUCUAUCGUUUUCCUAGGUUGCUCUGUGGUAGAGCUGUUGGUGCAGCAUAGUGUAUUGUAAGUCUAGCGUAAACAAAAAGAUGGGCAGUGGUACAUUCAUCAUGCAGAUGACAGUCUCCUGUUGCUUUUUGGUUUCUCUUCAUGCAUAUUAAUUUUCUUAUUUGCUGUAAGUACCAAUCUGUACUGAGGAGAUUUAAAAAUUCCCUUAUGGUCAGAAAAUGGUGACGACAAUUCAA